CAGAGAUUCUGGGUUCGAUCCCCAGUGGAGUCGUAAGUUUUUGCCGCUAAUCGCGAUGGUUUAAAAAGGAGUCGAAACCCUAACUUCGAGCCUAUUGGAUGCUCUAAUCUUUGGCAUAUAAUGACGUCUGGAGCUUCUCAGAUCAACGACGAGCGGCGAGCGGAUGUGGAUUCUCAACUCGGUGGAUCGAUUCAUUUUACAUACGUUGGGACCACACAUGGGUGUGUCGUAUACAUAGUAUUGUGCAGUCUUUGGGUUACAUGAAAUGCUUUCUGAAACUAUAUUUGUCCAUUGCCUGCUAUAUAUUGAGCAGUAUAUUUGGCAUUUACAUGUUGGAAGCUACAUCUAUAUUAUCUUCGUUUUUUUUUUACUUUACCUAUGAAAGAAUGAAUCUAUUCAAUAUUUAAGUAAUCUUGUUGAGUUUAUGAUGA